CAGUAGCCGCGGUAAUACGAAGGGGGCUAGCGUUGUUCGGAUUUACUGGGCGUAAAGGGCGCGUAGGCGGGCGAAUCAGUCAGGGGUGAAAUCCCAAGGCUCAACCUUGGAACUGCCUUUGAUACUGUUUGUCUUGAGUUCGAGAGAGGUAAGUGGAACUGCGAGUGUAGAGGUGAAAUUCGUAGAUAUUCGCAAGAACACCAGUGGCGAAGGCGGCUUACUGGCUCGAAACUGACGCUGAGGCGCGAAAGCGUGGGGAGCAAACAGGAUUAGAUACCCCAGUAGUCCCUGUCUCUUAUAC
rnacentral:rRNA from 1 species